UAAAGGUGGCGGUACGGGUGAGUAACACGUGGAUCAUCUACCCUGGAGUGGGGAAUAACGCUGGGAAACCGGCGCUAAUACCGCAUAAUCCCGAGAGGGCAAAGGAGCAAUUCGCUUCAGGAGGAGUCCGCGGCCGAUUAGCUAGUUGGCAGGGUAAAAGCCUACCAAGGCAUCGAUCAGUAGCCGGCCUGAGAGGGCACACGGCCACACUGGCACUGAAACACGGGCCAG
rnacentral:rRNA from 1 species